UCGUAGCGUAUUCGUAGGAUGUAUGUGUGCAUGCAGCUCAAGCACGAGAGACGGGGUGUCAAGUAACAAAACAACCGACAGUGGGAUACGUGUAACGUGCGUCUUUGGUAUACACCUCGAGUGGACCGACUUUUUUUCUCUCACAAUCAGACACUUGAUCGAAAAUAUUUUCUCUCUAACGAAUUCUCUGUGCUUGCAGCACGUUUGGCUAGCGUCGAAGGUUCACCGGGUUAACCCAUUACAAAUACAGUUGAAGCUCGCUCAUCCGACCUUCGAUUAACUGAGGUUCCGCAUUAUCCGAGACGCCCAUUUCAUCCAAGCACUCUGUAUUGACCGAGCUAUAUCUUUGGAUAAUACGAAGAACCUUGGAUGAAACAGAAUAAUCCGCUAUGCCUUGAGACGGUGUGGAGCGCAAGAAUAUUUGUACUACGCCGUUGUUGGGAGUAGACUGCUGACUAUUCUGUCUUCAUAGUCAAUCCGAAGUCUCUAACGAAACUUUUUCAACAAUAUCAUAACUCAACACCUUGAAACUAAUUGGAAGAGAGAACAUUACGGUCGUACCU